rnacentral:rRNA from 1 species
AGAGUUUGAUCCUGGCUCAGGACGAACGCUGGCGGCGUGCUUAACACAUGCAAGUCGAACGAGGUCCAUCCGAUCUUCGGAUUGGUGAAGACCUAGUGGCGAACGGGUGCGUAACACGUGAGAAACCUGCCCCGGUCUCUGGGAUAACAGUUGGAAACGACUGCUAAUACCGGAUGCCGUCGGACCGUCGCAUGGCGGACCGACGAAAGGGUUACCGGAUCGGGAGGGUCUCGCGGCCUAUCAGCUUGUUGGUGAGGUAACGGCUCACCAAGGCAUCGACGGGUAGCUGGUCUGAGAGGAUGAUCAGCCACACUGGGACUGAGACACGGCCCAGACUCCUACGGGAGGCAGCAGUGGGGAAUAUUGCACAAUGGGCGAAAGCCUGAUGCAGCAACGCCGCGUGCGGGAUGAAGGCCCUAGGGUUGUAAACCGCUUUCAGCAGGGAAGAAAAUGACGGUACCUGUAGAAGAAGGUGCGGCCAACUACGUGCCAGCAGCCGCGGUGACACGUAGGCACCAAGCGUUGUCCGGAUUUAUUGGGCGUAAAGAGCUCGUAGGCGGUUCAGUAAGUCGGGUGUGAAAACUCUGGGCUCAACCCAGAGACGCCACCCGAUACUGCUGUGACUAGAGUGCGGUAGGGGAGCGGGGAAUUCCUAGUGUAGCGGUGAAAUGCGCAGAUAUUAGGAGGAACACCAGUGGCGAAGGCGCCGCUCUGGGCCGUAACUGACGCUGAGGAGCGAAAGCGUGGGGAGCAACAGGAUUAGAUACCCUGGUAGUCCACGCCGUAAACGUUGGGCACUAGGUGUGGGUCUCAACCAACGAGAUCCGCGCCGUCGCUAACGCAUUAAGUGCCCCGCCUGGGGAGUACGGUCGCAAGGCUAAAACUUAAAGGGAAUUUGACGG